UACGAAGGGGGCUAGCGUUGCUCGGAAUCACUGGGCGUAAAGCGCACGUAGGCGGCUUGUUAAGUCAGGGGUGAAAUCCUGGAGCUCAACUCCAGAACUGCCUUUGAUACUGGCGAGCUCGAGUCCGGGAGAGGUGAGUGGAACUGCGAGUGUAGAGGUGAAAUUCGUAGAUAUUCGCAAGAACACCAGUGGCAAAGGCGGCUACACUGGCCCGGUACUGACGCUGAGGUGCGAAAGCGUGGGGAGCAAACAGGG
rnacentral:rRNA from 1 species